rnacentral:sRNA from 1 species
GAAGGAUGAGAAGCUUCGACUAAGGUUCGAUUCGAGCGAAAGCGAGAAAGCGUUGCCGCAGGCAACGACCCGAAGGGCGAAACGCGCAGCGCUGAGUCAUCCUUCCCCCACCACCA